rnacentral:lncRNA from 1 species
AAACUAGCUCAUGAUAUUUUAACUUUUGUAAGUUUAAGCAAUGUUUUGUAAACUUAAGCAUGUUCAAGUGAUAUUAUUUAUAUGUGAACAUCAGUACAAUCUGAUUAACAUACAAAUCCUUUGUUUAUGCUUUACCUUCAAAAAUAUGAAAGCGCUCAGUUCCAUGUUCUGUUUGAAGACCUUUCGAGACCCUCUGGUAUUGUUGUAUCGAUACACACCUUCCAAAAUUGGAAAGCUAAAAUUUCAUUGGUCAAUGUAAUGAUUUUAAGAUCAGAAAGUAUAACAGUGUGUGGUCAGACAAGUUAGCAAAACAUGGACACAGGAUGUGUAUUUUAAUCAAAUGGACAUAAUAUCAAAUUGUAAAAUAAUGGUACUAGUGCAUGAAAGAGAUACUGUUUAUGUCUGUUGUAAAUGUAAUACAAUUGAUGCCAAAUAUUUUUUUUCUUUAAAUAAAUGGUUUUUAAGAAUUAUUGAUGAUCUUGUGUGUAUGACUGCAUUGUAUAAUUGAUAAUCAAAGAUAAGCUAUUGAGAAAGACAGAUCUGUCUGUUAUUACGGUGCUCAUGUUCAUAUUAAGAAAAUGUAACGUGUUCAGAUUAAAUGUAUUGAUUGUAAUCAUGUAUUUUCUUUUCUUAUUAAUCAUAUAUAUUAAUAUUUGUUUUAUGAUCCUGCCAUAAUUUUGGUGGAUACAAUAUUAAUAUAAGCAUAUUAGUAUUUAUUAAUGUAAUGCUAUAGUUCUGUAAUGUAGGACUUUUACAAUUUUUUGUAUUAUAUGAUUGAACAAAUGAUAGUA